rnacentral:lncRNA from 1 species
CACGGAAAGCACUCAAACACAAGCAGAAUUAAUACAUGAAAUUAUUAGUAGCAAUAAGCUUGGUAUGAGUAAAAAAAUGAAAUCACGAAAAUGACAGGAUGCGCAAUGAUGCGAUCAGAUUAUUCAACAAAAAUCCCGAUACAGGUUUUAAAAAAUUGUUCAGAGAAACUGCUCCGCAUGUCCAUUCAUUUCCACCAUAGCUAAUGUUACACUGCGCUUCUGUGGCAACCGUUAGCGCGAGCGCAAAGCGCCGACA